AUUGAACGCUGGCGGCAUGCUUUACACAUGCAAGUCGGACGGCAGCACAGAGAAGCUUGCUUCUUGGGUGGCGAGUGGCGAACGGGUGAGUAACAUAUCGGAACGUACCGAGCAGUGGGGGAUAACUAAUCGAAAGAUUAGCUAAUACCGCAUAUAUUCUGAGGAAGAAAGCAGGGGACCAUUUGGCCUUGCGCUGUUUGAGCGGCCGAUAUCUGAUUAGCUAGUUGGUGGGGUAAAGGCCUACCAAGGCGACGAUCAGUAGCGGGUCUGAGAGGAUGAUCCGCCACACUGGGACUGAGACACGGCCCAGACUCCUACGGGAGGCAGCAGUGGGGAAUUUUGGACAAUGGGCGCAAGCCUGAUCCAGCCAUGCCGCGUGUCUGAAGAAGGGCUUCGGGUUGUAAAGGACUUUUGUCAGGGAAGAAAAGGAUAGGGUUAAUACCCCUUCUGAUGACGUACCUGAAGAAUAAGC
rnacentral:rRNA from 1 species